rnacentral:rRNA from 1 species
UAUGCCUCUUACUAAGGGAUAACAAUUGGAAACGAUUGCUAAUACCUUAUACUCCUUAUUAACUAAAGUUAGUAAGGGAAAGAUUUAUUGGUAAGAGAUUAGCCUGUAUUGUAUCAGUUAGUUGGUGGGGUAAUGGCCUACCAAGACUAUGACGCAUAACUGGUUUGAGAGGAUGAUCAGUCACACUGGAACUGAGACACGGUCCAGACUCCUACGGGAGGCAGCAGUGGGGAACUAUUGCACAAUGGACGAAAGUCUGAUGCAGCAACGCCGCGUGGAGGAUGACACAUUUCGGUGCGUAAACUCCUUUUAUAUAAGAAGAUAAUGACGGUAUUAUAUGAAUAAGCACCGGCUAACUCCGUG